rnacentral:rRNA from 1 species
CAAACAGGAUUAGAUACCCUGGUAGUCCACGCUGUAAACGAUGUCGAUUUGGAGUUUGUUGCCUAGAGUGAUGGGCUCCGAAGCUAACGCGAUAAAUCGACCGCUGGGGAGUACGGCCGCAAGGUUAAAACUCAAAUGAAUUGACGGGGGCCCGCACAAGCGGUGGAGCAUGUGGUUUAAUUCGAUGCAACGCGAAGAACCUUACCUGGUCUUGACAUCCAUAGAAUUCUGCAGAGAUGUGGGAGUGCCUUCGGGAACUAUGAGACAGGUGCUGCAUGGCUGUCGUCAGCUCGUGUUGUGAAAUGUUGGGUUAAGUCCCGCAACGAGCGCAACCCUUAUUCUUUGUUGCCAGCGAUUUGGUCGGGAACUCAAAGGAGACUGCCGUUGAUAAAGCGGAGGAAGGUGGGGACGACGUCAAGUCAUCAUGGCCCUUACGACCAGGGCUACACACGUGCUACAAUGGCGUAUACAAAGGGAAGCGAAGGUGCGAGCUGGAGCGGAUCUCAUAAAGUACGUCUAAGUUCGGAUUGGAGUCUGCAACUCGACUCCAUGAAGUCGGAAUCGCUAGUAAUCGUAGAUCAGAAUGCUACGGUGAAUACGUUCCCGGGCCUUGUACACACCGCCCGUCACACCAUGGGAGUGGGUUGCACCAGAAGUAGAUAGCUUAACCGCGAGGGGGGCGUUUACCACGGUGUGAUUCAUGACUGGGGUGAAGUCGUAACAAGGUAACCA